AUGCGCCGCAUCCCCAUGGAGGGCCGCAACCUCGCGCCGCUACGCCCUGCUGCCGGCCGGGAGGGCAAGGCCCCGCCGUCGUGCUCGAUGGGUGCCAUGCCUUGGAUGCUGCGGGGUGGCCGUGGCUACCAGCGUAUAUCGAUGCCGCGAAUCGCGACGCGGCGAUCCGUGUCGGGUGGAUCCGCCGAUGCCUCUGAAGCGCCGGGAGGAGCACCAUCAAGGCCGAGGGCCCUCGCGUCCUCGGCGCCGGAUAGCGUCGCUGCCACGGCUGUGCGUCAUGGUCUCGCCGUUGGGGCGAGCAUGGCGUCGUCGGUCCUCUUCUCUUGUUCUUCUUCCAUUCCUUUUCGCUUGUUGCGUGGCCUAAUGCUGUCGGUAGAGGCGUGCGUGAUAACGUGUAAAGAGGAAAAAGGGAGAGAGAGAGAGGGAACGAACGAUUGGAAUGAACGGUUGUUUCUCAUUGAUUGA
rnacentral:rRNA from 1 species